rnacentral:rRNA from 1 species
UACGGAGGGUGCAAGCGUUAUCCGGAUUUACUGGGUUUAAAGGGUGCGCAGGCGGAUAUGUAAGUCCGUGGUGAAAUCUCCGGGCUUAACCCGGAAACUGCCGUUGAUACUAUAUAUCUUGAAUGCUGUGGAGGUAAGCAGAAUAUGUCAUGUAGCGGUGAAAUGCUUAGAGAUGACAUAGAAUACCUAUUGCGAAGGAAGCUUACUACGCAGAUAUUGACGCUCAUGCAGGAAAGCGUGGGAUCAAACAGG